GAUGACGCUCGCGCGUGGCGUACACAUGCAAGUCGAACGAGAAUCAACGGAGUUGAGGAUUACGGUCCAAAUGAAGUUGAGGAAAGUGGCUGACGGGUGAGUAACGCGUGAGGAACCUGCCUCGGAGUGGGGAAUAACAGUUGGAAACAGCUGCUAAUACCGCAUGAUGCAACGGAAUCGCAUGACUCUGUUGCCAAAGAUUUAUCGCUCUGAGAUGGCCUCGCGUCUGAUUAGCUAGUUGGCGGGGUAACGGCCCACCAAGGCGACGAUUCAGUAGCCGGACUGAGAGGUUGAACGGCCACAUUGGGACUGAGAUACGGCCCAG
rnacentral:rRNA from 1 species